rnacentral:lncRNA from 1 species
CUUAAAUAAAAGGGGUUUGCAGAAGCAUUUCAAACAAUUAGAGAUCAAUGUGGAGAGAGGUAAGAGAAAAUUAUUGAGCUCAAUUUGCAGAGAGGAAAUAGAUCUCGAUUUUUGUUUGAAACACUAUGAAACCUCAAAUUAUGUACAUGCAACCAACCAUAAAUAAAUAAAUACAUAAAACAGAGAGAAAACAGUGAAUAGAUUCAUGACUUUAAUUAUGCAUGUGAAAUUAGUUGGUAAAGUGAAGGAGUUAAUUAUUGCAUGAAGUAUUUCCAGUGUAAAUAUAAGCUGCUA